AAACACCCCCCGUUGCACUCCUGUGGGUCCCCAACCCCAGCCAGGCAAUCAGUGUACCCCGGUUCUCUGGGAAGUGUUCAUGUGACUGAAGUCCUGGUCUAGACCCCUACCUCCACCAUCCCACCUAAGGUUUCCCUGGGUUCAGUGCUGCUGUGGAGAACAGGACGAGACCAGUCUGCGGAUGCUUUGUGGCUACCCUGUGGCUCUAUGGAGCCUGGUGAUGCAGGAUCUCAUGGCCAACCUUCCUCUGCUAUGGUGACAGUGUCCAGCCCUGUCCCAGCCAGACAAAAGAAGCCAGAAGACAGCACUGGAGCUGGAGUCAGAGGCAGCUUUGAACUGCCAUGCAGCUUCUGGGAACUAAACCAGGAUCCUCUGCAAGGGCAGACCGUGCUCUCUUAGCCACUGAGCCAAGUAGGCUAGGCCGGCUGGCCAGGGAGUCCCAGGAAUCCACCUUGUCCAUCUCCCCAAAGCUGAGUUAUAAACAU
rnacentral:lncRNA from 1 species